rnacentral:lncRNA from 1 species
GGUCUCUUGUGGAGAGUUCUCAUUGACACUCAUGCCACAUUUUCUUUUUUAUAUUGUGUAUAAGUUUUGUAGUAUUUCCCAAUAUUGGUUGAGGCAAACUAAAGUUAGGAGAACGGGACUCAUUUUUGUGGGAUGUUCGGGAAGGACGGACUAGGGUAGCACCUUAUGCCUCUCCACUAUGGCACCAACACAGAAGUUCUGACUAUUGUGCUGGUAAUAC